rnacentral:rRNA from 1 species
AUUGAACGCUGGCGGCAUGCUUUACACAUGCAAGUCGAACGGUAACAGGCCGCAAGGUGCUGACGAGUGGCGAACGGGUGAGUAAUGCAUCGGAACGUGCCCAGUCGUGGGGGAUAACGCAGCGAAAGCUGUGCUAAUACCGCAUACGAUCUAUGGAUGAAAGCGGGGGACCGUAAGGCCUCGCUCGAUUGGAGCGGCCGAUGUCAGAUUAGGUAGUUGGUGGGGUAAAGGCCUACCAAGCCGACGAUCUGUAGCUGGUCUGAGAGGACGACCAGCCACACUGGGACUGAGACGCGGCACAGACUCCUACGGGAGGCAGCAGUGGGGAAUUUUGGACAAUGGGUGCAAGCCUGAUCCAGCAAUGCCGCGUGCAGGAAGAAGGCCUUCGGGUUGUAAACUGCUUUUGUACGGAACGAAACGGUCUGGGUUAAUACCCUGGGCUAAUGACGGUACCGUAAGAAUAAGCACCGGCUAACUACGUGCCAGCCGCCGCCGUAAUAC